AAUGAAUGGAUGGAUGAAUUGAUACUAUGAAAAAAAACUGUUAAAAAAAGUUGAUGAUAUUUUGCCAAAGAGGGAGUGGUGACAUUAUUAUUCUAAACCUGCAAAUCCACUUAAAGAUGCCAUGCAGCUUGUCAGCGGCUACCUGCUCACAUUGGCACAAGCACUUGAAGCAAGACUCUGGGAAGCCUCAUUAUCCCCUUGGAGGAAACCUCACAGUGAUUUAUGUUCAGGUUAUGUUGGUAGACGUCUGUGGGCAUUUAUCUUGAAGUCAGACAGAUGACAAAGUCUCAUCAAAUACGAACACAAACAGGUGGAAGCGUGUCAGUGCUGCUGUGAAAGCAUAGACGCUGAUACACUUACCGAUGUCGAUCGUCUGACAUGUUCAGGAGUUUGCAGUUGUAGAACAUUUGUUUAUUCUUGCUCAUAAAAGGAUGCAUCCUUUUA